rnacentral:rRNA from 1 species
CGUGAGGGAUGAAGGCCUCUGGGACUGUAAAGCUCUAUUAUCAAAGAAAGAAGAUCUGACGGGUACUUGAUGAAUAACCCACUGGCUAAUCCAGUGCCAGCAGCCAGCGGUAAUACGCGGAGUGGCAAAGCGUUAUCCUGGAUAUUAUAUGGUGCGUAAACGCGUCCAGCACGGCCGGUACUUUUAACGUCUAGUCAGUCAAAAGCCGUGGAGGCAUUAUACUCCAGUAUUCUGCG